rnacentral:rRNA from 1 species
UACGGAGGAUCCGAGCGUUAUCCGGAUUUAUUGGGUUUAAAGGGUGCGCAGGCGGGAGAUUAAGUCGGCGGUGAAAUUUUGCAGCUCAACUGUAAAAGUGCCUUCGAAACUGGUUUCCUUGAGUGUAGAUGAAGUAGGCGGAAUUUGUGGUGUAGCGGUGAAAUGCAUAGAUAUCACGAGGAACUCCGAUUGCGCAGGCAGCUUACUAAAGCCAUAACUGACGCUCAAGCACGAAGGCGUGGGGAUCAAACAGGAUUAGAUACCCCUGUA